UGUGCUCAAUGCGUCUGCAAUUCGCACUAUUUAUCGCAGCUAGCUGCGUUCUUCAUCGAUCCACGAGCCAAGUGAUCCACCGCUAAGAGUUAUUGAAAAAUUAUUAUAAAUAACAAUUAUAUCGUAUUAUUGUAUGUGUGUGUGUGUUAUUUUGUUGGUAGCAUACUAACUAAAAUGCUUAUUAAGUCUACUUAAUUGAGCGAUCAUCAUCAAUUAAGCUAUCAUUUUAUCUUCAUCGCUAUCGACGGUUAGGCGAUAACUUACAUAAAAUAUAGACACCAACGAAUAUCACCGUUUAUAUUCAAUUCAUAUGAAUAAAUACAUUCGCUUAUCUUCAUCAUUUCUUUUAUCUAUCUAUCUAACUAACUACUAACUACCAACUACUAAUCAUUCAUCUAUCAAUCAAUCAUUCAUCCUUCUUUCAUUCUUUCUUUUUCUUUCAUGCAUGAAUAAAAAAAGAAAGAAAGAAGACAAAAGAAGGAUGGUUAUUAGUAUUAGUAUUAGUAGUAAUAAUAAUAAUAAAAA
rnacentral:misc_RNA from 1 species